UACUUUUUGGCUGAUAGUCUUAAUUGAGCAUACACAAGUCUGCUAAAAUGAAUCGCUUUUGGGCCAUGGCUGGCUGCACAAGGGGUCACUAGGAAAAGAAAUGAACAUAGCUGGUUGAAGUUUCUCUGUUUGAUUUCACCCAAGCACGUUGGCACUAGGUAUUGCAUCAGGUGAAAAAAUGCACCAGGGCAAAAGAGCACAAGAUGCUUACAGCAGUGGGUUCCGGCCCAUCAUGGAUCCACAACUGGUUGGGUGGUGCCCAUUAGCCGCCAUGAACGAGCUGCCCAGCAUCGUCGAGCACUGCCUCAGCAAGUCGGCAUGAACCCAAAGAGUGUCUCGUGCUUCAAGCACUCCAUGGAAAUACUGUAUAGGAAAUUUUACCCAUAUCUUCUAUUCUUAUGGCUAAAUUAACGAAUGCAAGAAUGAUUAUAAUUCUUUUUAGCAUAAAUUAGAUUACAUGUGCUUCAUCAAACUAUACGAUA